CUUCGGGUGCUGACGAGUGGCGGACGGGUGAGUAAUGCGUAGGAAUCUGUCUUUUAGUGGGGGACAACCCAGGGAAACUUGGGCUAAUACCGCAUGAGCCCUGAGGGGGAAAGCGGGGGAUCUUCGGACCUCGCGCUAAGAGAAGAGCCUACGUCUGAUUAGCUAGUUGGUAGGGUAAAGGCCUACAAGGCGACGAUCAGUAGCUGGUCUGAGAGGACGACCAGCCACACUGGGACUGAGACACGGCCCAGACUCCUACGGGAGCAGCAGUGGGGAAUUUUUCGCAAUGGGGGCAACCCUGACGAAGCAAUGACCGCGUAGGAUGAAGAAGGCCUUC
rnacentral:rRNA from 1 species